UUCGAUAGAGGCGCGGGAUUCAUCAGUACCGUUCGGCAAGGCCAGGCAGCCGCCGGACGCGAAAGGGGAGACCGCCGAAGUGUGGCCGGGGCCUGACCGGUCAUGCUGGGUCGGCAGAGAAGAUCUGCCGGACUGUCACAUUUUUGUGAAGCGCUAUC
rnacentral:ncRNA from 1 species